UUCACACCCUUCUUUCAUUCAUCAUCAAACAUCACUUUUCACUUCUCAUUCCUCUGUUUUUCCUCUGUUUUCGAAAUGAAGAGAUCUCUAUCUUCACCAUGUGGAAGACUCUUCAUCUUCUUGUUUCUUCUCUUUUUCUUCUCUUUAGCUAAUUGUAGACUUCAUUCCUCAAAACACCCCUUUUCACCUUCUUCAAGAAACACUCACAACCAACAUCAUCAUCAUCUUGAUUGUGAUUCUUUUUCUAAGAGAAACACUCAUUCCUUAUGCACCAAACUACAAAGAUUGCAUAAACAAGUUUCACCUUCUAAUGAUUAUGAGAUUGAUCCAAGAUUUGGUGUAGAGAAGAGACUAGUUCCAACUGGACCAAACCCACUUCACAACUGA